AAAAGUACUACAGGGAUUGCCCUAGUAACGGCGAGUGAAGCAGGCAACAGCUCAAAUUUGAAAUCUGGCCCUUGGGUCCGAAUUGUAAUUUGUAGAGGAUGAUUUUGGUGCGGUAUCUUCCGAGUUCCUUGGAACAGGACGCCUUAGAGGGUGAGAGCCCCGUACGGUCGAAUGCCUAGCCUCUGUAAAUCUCCUUCGACGAGUCGAGUAGUUUGGGAAUGCUGCUCUAAAUGGGAGGUAAAUUUCUUCUAAAGCUAAAUACUGGCCAGAGACCGAUAGCGCACAAGUAGAGUGAUCGAAAGAUGAAAAGCACUUUGAAAAGAGGGUUAAAUAGCACGUGAAAUUGUUGAAAGGGAAGGAUUUAUGACCAGACUUUUUCUGGGCGGAUCAUCCGGUGUUCUCACCGGUGCACUUUGCCCAGUUUAGGCCAGCAUCGAUUUUCGGAGAGGGAUAAAAGCUUUGGGAAUGUGGCUCCUUCGGGAGUGUUAUAGCCCAUUGUAUAAUACCUUUCUGGGGAUCGAGGUACGCGCUUCUGCAAGGAUGCUGGCGUAAUGGUUAUCAAUCACCCGUCUUGAAACACGGACCAAGGAGUCGAACAUUUGUGCAAGUGUUUGGGUGUUAAACCCUCACGCGUAAUGAAAGUGAACGGAGGUGAGAGCCCUUACGGGUGCAUCAUCGACCGAUCCUGAAGUUUUCGGAUGGAUUUGAGUAAGAGCAUAACUGUUCGGACCCGAAAGAUGGUGAACUAUGCGUGGAUAGGGUGAAGCCAGAGGAAACUCUGGUGGAGGCUCGCAGCGGUUCUGACGUGCAAAUCGAUCGUCAAAUCUGCGCAUGGGGGCGAAAGACUAAUCGAACCAUCUAGUAGCU
rnacentral:rRNA from 1 species